CGGCAUUCUGUUACAGCAGCCCCAAUGGACUGAGACACCUUCUAAGGCCAAUCGUCCCCACUCUGCUGGAUCCCAUACCCUAAAUUCCACCUUUGGCUCCUAGAUGCUGUCUCAGGAUUCUGUGAUCUCUCUCUCUGCUGAUUCCUUGGCAACAGCAAACAAAAAUCCUCACACAUCUACCUCCUUGCCUCCAUCUUGUGUCUUUUUCUAGCAACUAGCCUCUUCCCUUCCUAAGCCAAAGCACUUUGUGAAAGCGUCAUCUACACUGGCUGCCUCACUUUCCUCGUACACCACUUGCUCCCCAAAGCAACUUGGCUUCUGCUUCCAAAUUCCACUAAAACUUUUCUUUCAGGUCACCACUAAUCUCCUUAUCACUCAAUCGACCGACACUUCUGAAUCAUUAGUUUGUUGGCCUCUCUGCAGCAGCUAACCCCCUGUGGGCCUGCCCUGUGGCAGGUGAUAUGUUAGAGGGAUCUGUGGGAACUCACAGGAGAGACAUUUAAUCCAGCCUGGGGAGGGUCAAAGAGGCCUUCCUGGAGGAGGUGAUGCCAGGGUAGAGCCUGAAAGGAAUGGCGGAUCAGAGUGGGAGCAAGUAAGUCAGCCAAAGAGACUGGUGCGCAAGCGACCUGAGAGAGAGAAUAAACGACGAGGUCAUGUCUUUUGAGGAGAAAAGAUCUGAAAAGGAAUAUCUGGCCACAAUUUGAAAUAAAAAAAUUACCUACUCUGGAUCUGGAUGGUGGCGCUGCAGGGUGGGCAGGCCUCUGCAAGGGAUGGGCUGAGGUGGAAUCAUCAUCGCCAAGGACCAAGAGAGG
rnacentral:lncRNA from 1 species